GGGGGGGAGGGGUACCUGUGUUUGACAUAUAUACUUUUAAUAUAAUAAUAAUAAUACAGAUUUAUAAAGCGCCUUUCUCCUAUAGAUCCAAGGCGCUUUACAGUUUUAAUAUUAUGUUAAAAUAAUAAUUAAAAAUUCAUAACAAUAUAUAUCAAAUAGAUAAUAAAAAGCCGCAAUAAAAAGCAGCAAUAAAAAAAUUUAGUUAUGAUACAUAACUAAGAUCAUGAGAAUCAAUUGUCGGAGACGCGUUUAAAAAGGAAGGUCUUGAUCUUGGAUUUAAACAUACUAAAUUAUUUACAAUUCCGGAGUUCUAGUGGGAGGGAGUUCCAUAUAGCUGGUGCACUCACGGAAAAGGCUUUAGAGUCGUAGGUCUUAAGUUUAAAAGAGGGCUGCCUAAAAGAGACUUAUUUGAAGAACGAAGACUGCGCUUUGGUUUAUAAGGAGUUAAAAGGUAUUUCAUAUAGUCUGGAGCGGUUUCAUUUAGGGAUUUAAAGAAGGGGUUUAAAAUCUAUUCUUUCUCUGAUGGGUAGCCAGUGUAAGGUACGCAGAACAGGAGAGAUGUGAUCGUAUUUGCGUGUUCCUGUAAGAAGUCGCGCCGCAGAAUUCUGAACAUAUUAUAGUUAUAGAGAUUUGCUUUCGAUCAAGGCCAGUGGGAAGAGAGUUACAAUUAUCUAGUUUAGAAGAAAUAAAAGCGUGUAUAAGAAUCUCGCAGUGAUUAAAGGAAAUAAACUUUCUAAUUUUCGCAAUAUUUCGAAGAUGGAAAAAGGAGGAUUGGCCUAUUGAAGUUACUUGUUUGUCCAUGGUCAAAGUGUUAUCGAACCAUACACCUAUGUUUUUUGCAUUCUUUGAAGAGGAAAUGUUGGAAUUUGGAAUAUGAACCAAAAGGAAGUUCAAACUGUUCUAAAACAUGAAAGCGGUUCUCAAAAAGGAAAACAUGCGUAAUUUUGGGCAAAAAUGCAAGAUAAAGUUUUCGGGCCCGAGAAUUCUCGGGUGUUUCGAGAAACGGGCGCCAGGUGAGAGUUUUUUUAAGUUUAAAGCGUAUAUUAUGCAAGAGCGCUACUCCACCACCUCUUCUCCCAACACGGGGCAGGUGAUGUAGAAAGAAACCCGAGGGACAGAUGUCAUUCACAGUAAGUUGGUCAUUAAUGUCAUCAUUUAGCCAAGUCUCAGUUAUUGCUAAGAUAUCAAUGUUGUUAUCUACAAUAAAGUCUUUGAUUAUAAAAGAUUUGCUCUUUACCGACCUUGCAUUCAGUAAACAGAGCCUCGUGUUUCCGGAACAAGAGUUAACAAGUAUGGGAUCCCUUUUGAUAUUGAUCAGGUUUGAUGGACUGCGAACAGGAGGACUGAAACGCGGGUACAAAUGACAUGGAUUUGUGUAUUUGUUGGAUAUUAACACAGAACAACCCUUAUACAGACGAAGGUCAAGUUGACCCCUCUGAGGACAUUUUUACUCAAGGCAUGAAAUUAUCUGAGACACAACUAUUCAGUCUUGACAGGUUGUAUUCACUCUCAAGAGUUGCGGGCGAAGAGUGUUUAGGCAAAGUACAAGAAAAAUAAUUGUGAGGGAAUGUUUGUGAAACAUUUUUAAGAUUAAGAAAAUUGUAGAUUUUUUGUUUAUUUUGGCAAAUAAUGUUUAUCAAUAUAAAUAUAUCAAUAAAAAUGACUAAGUACUUUAUGAGUUUAUUAUAUUCUAUUUUGUUUUAUUUAGAUAUUUUUUAAAUUAUGAAUAAAUGUUUAUUCUUUUUAUUAAACAAUCAAUGUUGUGUUUUGGACAUUUAGUUGUAUUUGUAUUUAAGAUUGUAUUUGUAUAACUUUUAUGAGAAACUUAAUAAUAUAAAAAUAUAUGGUUUUAGCGGUAAUAUUCUUUAUCUUUUCCUUACUUGUAUGGUAGCAAGUGAAAUGCAAUUGUAAACGAGCGUCUGAUUAGCGUUGCACACACAAGAGACAAAAACAAUUAAAAUUUACUUAUACUAUGUUCUAAGUAAAUAUAUUCAAUUUAAUUGAGAUUCUAAUAUUCUAUAAAAA